UACGGGGGGAGCAAGCGUUGUUCGGAUUUACUGGGCGUAAAGGGCGCGUAGGCGGUCAGCACAAGUCAGUUGUGAAAUCUCUGGGCUUAACCCAGAAAGGUCAACUGAUACUGCGGGGCUAGAGUGCAGAAGGGGCAACUGGAAUUCUCGGUGUAGCGGUGAAAUGCGUAGAUAUCGAGAGGAACACCUGCGGCGAAGGCGGGUUGCUGGGCUGACACUGACGCUGAACUGCGAAAGCUAGGGGAGCGAACGGG
rnacentral:rRNA from 1 species